AUCGUAUAGGAGAGAUCUUUGUGGAUGCUCACCGAUCAGAGAACGAGAAGGGAGUGGACUACGAGGAUGAUGAGGGAGGAAGACACCCCGGAGAAUGAAUCGAAUGAGAGGGAGAUAAUACCCAGAGAAAUAUCUAUAGAUAGUUCGUACUUUCUACAUGAAUUCAAUGGAAAUGUCAUCCUUUCAUCAUGGACUAUAUUUGUAUUUCUUCAAGCAUAUUCCUCAAGCGUCUACUAUAUAUUAUUAAGCCAAGAUCUACCACAAAUGCCACUUUCCAUGGAUUUUCUCAGGUCUUUGGAAUCACUUAAGAUUCUCCAUUAUUAUGGAAUAUUUCUACCGGAUCACCACUAUAUCAUCACCAAAAGGAAGGAUUCCUUGAUACGUUGUCUAGAGAAAUUCAGUGGAUAUGAAAGGCAAUGUGCACAAUUAUUCUCACCUCUGGCUCUCCGAGAAGGAGACGUCCCAUUAAGAAGUCUGCGAAUGAAUAUUCCUUGCCAGAGAACAGCAGCAUCCUUUCGUUUGAAUAAACCAAUUACGAUCUGUGCUCGUUCUCACUGGCAAUCACCUCCUUGCUGCUGUCCUGUCCCAUUGCUGAUUGGCAUUCCAUUAUCUGCAUCUUCACGAGAAGCUUCUUCAUUAUUCUAUCAUCAUCAUCAUCGGAGGGAGCUGCAGGAGCUGCACGAGGAGCUACUGCUUCAGUGGCAGUAACAGCUGCCACUGCAGGAUCCUUCAUUAUGUUGAUUCGUGAGGAAGGACGAGAGCGACUACUAGUACGAGAGCGAGUGCGAGUGCUGCGUAUUUGGUUAAAUUGUUGAAGGUCGCCCGAAGGCAGCAGCACUUUUGUGGGUCUGCCUGCCCGUGGGUCUGCCUGCCAAGUCUCAUGUGCAUAAUUCAAGUUGUUGCACAUGCCACACACACACAUACACACACACACACAUGUGAGACACUCGAGCGGCACGACGGGCCCUGUCGACUGCCGACUGCUAAGUGUCCUUUGGCAGGCGCAAGAUGAAAGCAAAAGGCGGCUGAAAUUAAAUUAAAAUGAAAUGCAUGCAAAGUGCCACAGCGACAACGACAUGGUCCCGCGUCCCGCGUCCCGUGUCCCGUGUCCCGUAUCCCGACUCCCAGCUUCCAGCUCCCGAGGCCUUUUUUUAGUCCUCGUCAUCGGUGUGUCCUGAGUGUGUACUUUAAGCUUGCAAUUAAAUUGCAGGACGAGCCGCACCGCUGCCACUGCCGCCGCACGGGAAUUGCAAAGGCUCUCCGAUACCGAGGAGAUGGAGAUCCCUGCCGCACAGAGGGUGGGGCAGAGGGCAUGUCCAAUGCAUAUGCAUUGCAAUUAAGCAAUCAAUGGCAUAAUUAUCGACACAUGAGAGUCACUCGAUUUAUUAACACGCCUGCCCCGAGGCGCUGCUGCAACAGCAACAGCAACAGAACAGCAAUCGACAAUCGAUUGGCAACUUGUUUAAUUUAAAUGCUCAAACAAACAAAGGAGACCAGACACAGACACCGGAGAGGGGGGGCUGGCAGUGUGGGGAGAGUGGUUUUUGGGCAUACAGCCGGAGUGGGGGGUUAACCAAGAAGCCAUUUGCAGACCAGAUCCAGAUCCUGUGCCAAUCAGCAGCCCCAAGCCACAAAAAAACUGUCGCGACACCGAAAUGGCGGCCAAAGAAGUGUUUCGUUUUACAGACUGUAAGCGCAUUUUAUGGAACUUAUGUCCUAAUAUGAAGGAAGAGACAUUUGUAAUGAAAACGAUGCAAGAUCUACAAUGUUCAAAGGUUUUUUAACCAUUUUUUCAAUAAUGAAUUGCCUGAAAAGGAACAUUGGCGGCCGACACAGGAACUACAGGAACACAGGGUCGACAGGAACUUAAAGACGAAGGACAGGAAUAGUUCGAUUCUUCAGCAAAUAAGAGCGAAAGAAGAUUCUCAAUUUACCAGAUGUCUAUCAUAUAUUAUUGUGGAAAAAAACACGCCGGUGUGGGAUUUUGAGCAGACUGAUAGAAGGAAACAUUUCCGAACGCAUGAGGUACACAGUAGUACACGGGCUCCCUCCGGCGGCCGUACCUGUUUGGGUGGUGCCGGAUCGAUACUGCAUCCACGAUCGCAUGCAUCGUGCUUCGCAGGUGCCGACAUUACCGACAUCGUCUUCCCUCCAGCACCUCCUGCUUUACCUGGACGGCUUUGACCAGCUUAUUUGCUGAGACCCUUUCUGGCAACAACUGUUAUGCAGCGAUCUCCUCCUCUUACCCCGCCAGUUUAGCAGAUCGCACCUUCCGGAGGCCAUGAAUAGCUCUUAUUUACGAAGGGCCUAAGCCUGACGACAGCCCACUCCAUGCGACCGGCUGAAAUCGCGAACUCACAGUCGCUUGCGUUCGGAGCUGUUUUCUCUGCCUUUACAGUGCUUCAGAGCUCGACCUCAUUUUCGUAGUCGAGAUUUUGAUGCCGUCCGACUGUCUGGAUCCUCGCGAUCCUGGGGGAGUUGGUCCUUGACCGAUUUGGCCUUAUUUGUCCGAGAUAUAGCCUUACGAAGAUUUGGAUUUGCACAUCGUUACAAUACUGGUUUUUUCUGUACGCCAUAUCUUUGGUAUCCGGCAGCCGAUCUGGCAUAUCUCUCCGUGCUCGGGAGAGUCCUGCCAAUCGACUGCCACCCUAAAAAGGGACAUCAAUUUUCUCACGAUUUUCGCAAAAAAUCAUGAUGGUUACAUCAUUAAAUUUCUCGAAAAUUGGCCUCAUUUUCGAAGUCGAGGUUUUGCUGCCGUUCGACAGUCUGGAUCCUCGCGAUCCUAGGAGAGUUGGUUCUUCAACGAUUAGGCCCCAAUUGUCCGAGAUAUAGCCUUACGAAGAUUGGGAUUUGCAUACCAUUAAAAUAGGCCAUAGUCAUGAUUCCACUGCUGUGUCGCUGAGUCGACAAGGUGGCGUGCCGUCCGCUGCAGCAGCGACCAGAGAUCGACAGCAAUCAAACGCUGGGCUAUAGCUUUGAAACGCAGGUCUUCUGUACCCCACGCAUUGCCACAAUAGGAGUCGUAUCCGAUUUCAUCCCUCGACCUGGCCAUCGAUAACAAGGACUUUGACUAGGACUACCAAGGGAAGAACACUCUAGAUAUAUCGUGUUGUUGUUAGGUUUAAGGAUAUACGCGUUCUUAUAUUUAGAUAGUAGUCAAAAAUGUUUUCCACUUGUUUAAAUAUUUAUACUUAGCUAAGUUAUGAUGAAUAAAACUUUUGAAAAAUUA